GGCCAUGCCUUAUGCUGAGAAUCUUGAAAUAAAGGCAUAUGGACAGAGCUUUAAGGGUGCAACGUGAAACAGAGCAUAGUAUGCUAAGAAAACCUAAGGGGUGGUAUAAUUAUACCUCCGUACAGAAGUAUAGGGACAAGCCCUGCAAUGGGAAUAGCUCAGGACUGAGCAGACAGGUCCUUGGCAGAGUCUGCAUUUGUAACAAGGCCCCAGGGUGUGUUGAUGCUGCUGGUCCUCAGACCAUACUUUGAGUGGCAAGAUGGCAGGGGGAGGCGGUUUACAGGCAAGCGCCAUCCUCUCCAGGUGUGUCUUCCUGGUUCAACUGGCCCUGUGUUUGUAGACUUUCUGGACUACGUGCUUAGAAGUCUGAAUGGCCCUGUAUGCGGUGGGGGCUGUGGGAGCUGGCUAGCACGCUCACAUUCUGCUUUGGGUUCCUUUUGGCAGUAAGGGGACCAUUCCCUUCAGUUAUUACCUUCUCCUUUUGUAGCUUUUUGCCUCAUUCUGUCUUGCAGUUGCACUCCCAGAAGACACUUUUUUUUUUUUUAAAGAUACACGAAACAUUUAAACAUUUUAUUUAUUUGUUUGUUUGUUUUUUAAAGCCGCACCCAUGACAUAUGGAAGUUCCCAGGCUCGGGUCAAAUUGGAGCUACAGCUGCUGACCUGCGUCACAGCCACAGCAACGCAGGAUCCAAGCCAUCUGCAACCUACACCACAGUUCAUGGCAACACCGGAUCCUUAACCCACUGAGCAAAGCCAGGGAUCGAACCCGCAACCUCAUGGUUCCUAAUCGGAUUCAUUUCCGCUCAUGCCACAGUGGGAACUCCUGAAACUUUUUUUUAAAAGUAUGGUUGAUGUACAAUGUUGUGCCCAUUUCUGCUGUACAGCCAAGUGACCCAGUCCUACAUACAUAUACCUUCCAUUCCUUAUAUUAUCUUCCUUCAUGGACUGUCCCAAGAGAUCAGAUAGGGUUGCCAGUACCCUGCAGUGGGUUGGGCUCGACCUUCUUGAGCUAAGAAAAAAAGGGUUGAAUCAUCGGAUUUCCUGGCUCAUCUGCUCACGAGUUGGGAAGGGUUUUGUUUCCUUGGGUGUUUGUUUUGUUUUAGCGUGAAUGUGAAGUGGGGAAGCGGGACAGGAUGUGUGGCCCGUCAAGGAGAGAAACGCUAAGAGGCUGCACAGUGGCAAGGGGGGACGUCCAGGUGGGUAGCGAGAGGAGAAUUCUCUGACCCUGUGUCGGAGAGCUGCGUCCCUAUCUGCACACAACACGUGAGUGGUGAAUGCUGUAAUCACCCAUGAGAAACCUCCAGGUAAUCCCUUCAGAUGGAAUAUUCAGAAUAGGAGAACCCAUAGAGACAGAAAGCAGAUGAGUGACUGCCAGAGUGGGAGGGGGGAUUGAGGAGUGACUUUGUAGGAAGGUUUCUGUCUGGGGUGAUAAAAAUGUCGGGAACUGGGUAGAGGUGGUGAUGGUAGAGCCUUGCAGCCUAAAUGCCACUAAAUCGUACAACUUAAAAUGAUGAGUUUUAGGUUAUGUGACUCCGACCUAAAAAAAACCAGAAGCCUGGAGUUCUGGUUGAGGCUCAGUGGUAACAAGCCCAACUAGUAUCCAUGAAAAUGUGGGUUCAAUCCCUGGCCCCACUCCGUGGGUGGGGAUCUGGUGUUGCUGUGAGCCUUGGUCUAGGUCACAGAUGCGGCUUGGAUCUGGUAUUGCUAUGGCUGUGGCUGGCAGCGGUAGCUCCAAUUACACUCCUAGCCUGGGAACUUCCACAUGCCCUUGGUGCGGCCCUAAAAAAAAAAACAACAAAAAAA
rnacentral:lncRNA from 1 species